GCACAGAGAGUAGGCCUGGGGCUCAGAGCUGUGGGACAACCAUCCAGCUGAAAUUUAACUAUACUCUUUCCAUUCCGUUCAUGUUUAGACUGGGGCCUACCCACCUCAUCACACACGUGCAAGGCAAAGAAGAGCACCAGCAUCCCUGUGGAAGGGUACCGCCCAUGAUGCUCUGUCCACCUGUCGUGGAUGUACUUGAAGAAGGCUGGGUUGUAGAUCUGGACCUGGGAGAAGAGGCCUGAGUGAUGACUGCCUCAAAGCUUCCAGACUGCUCUCCCUCAAAAAGAACAGCCCUCCACAGCUUACACCUCACCUGGCUGUUCUGCCUUCUUUCCUAGAAGACAGUGAAAGCAAGGCCAAGAGGAAUGGCCCCCGUUCUGAGUGUCUACCCUGAGCUGUCUGUCUGGUGACGUGCAGCCUGCCGACCCCCACCACUGUCU